AGUGAACGCUGGCGGUAGGCCUAACACAUGCAAGUCGAACGGCAGCACAGUAAGAGCUUGCUCUUACGGGUGGCGAGUGGCGGACGGGUGAGGAAUACAUCGGAAUCUACUUUUUCGUGGGGGAUAACGUAGGGAAACUUACGCUAAUACCGCAUACGCCCUACGGGUAAAAGCAGGGGAUCUUCGGACCUUGCGCGAUUGAAUGAGCCUAUGUCGGAUUAGCUAGUUGGCGGGGUAAAGGCCCACCAAGGCGACGAUCCGUAGCUGGUCUGAGAGGAUGAUCAGCCACACUGGAACUGAGACACGGUCCAGACUCCUACGGGAGGCAGCAGUGGGGAAUAUUGGACAAUGGGCGCAAGCCUGAUCCAGCCAUACCGCGUGGGUGAAGAAGGCCUUCGGGUUGUAAAGCCCUUUUGUUGGGAAAGAAAAGCAGCAGGUUAAUACCCCGCUGUUCUGACGGUACCCAAAGAAUAAGCACCGGCUAACUUCGUG
rnacentral:rRNA from 1 species